GGGCCUUUAGCUCAAUUGGUUAGAGCAGCGGACUCAUAAUCCGUUGGUUCCCAGUUCAAGUCUGGGGAGGCCCA
rnacentral:tRNA from 1 species